rnacentral:rRNA from 1 species
AGCGAACGCUGGCGGCAGGCUUGACACAUGCAAGUCGAACGCCCCGCAAGGGGAGUGGCAGACGGGUGAGCAACACGUGGGAACGUACCCUUUGGUUCGGAAUAACUGGGGGAAACUCAAGCUAAUACCGGAUAAGCCCUUAUGGGGAAAGGUUUACUGCCGAAGGAUCGGCCCGCGUCUGAUUAGCUAGUUGGUGAGGUAAUGGAUCACCAAGGCGACGAUCAGUAGCUGGUCUGAGAGGAUGAUCAGCCACACUGGGACUGAGACACGGCCCAGACUCCUACGGGAGGCAGCAGUGGGGAAUAUUGGACAAUGGGGGCAACCCUGAUCCAGCCAUGCCGCGUGAGUGAUGAAGGCCUUAGGGUUGUAAAGCUCUUUUACCCGGGACGAUAAUGACUGUACCGGGAGAAUAAGCCCCGGCUAACUUCGUGCCAGCCGCCGCGGUAA